rnacentral:lncRNA from 1 species
CUUUUACUUUUAUACUCUUUACUACAAUUCAAAAUUUUUAAAUUUGUAUUAAUUAUUUUUUAAAAUAGCCUUUUAAAUUUUUAAUUCUCACUACAACAGAAUUGGAUUAUAGAGACACAUCUUUGGGACAUUUUUAUAUAAGUGUUCCAUUUAUGUCAAUUUUUUUUAAAAAAAAUCUAAUAAUGUCUAAAUAUAAAACCUAAUCCAAUUAAAAACAAAAAGUUUCUCUACUCAACCAACCACACCCAGCUCACUUGGCUCGAUUACAAAUAAAAAAGAAAAAAAAAAAAUUGAUCACCAUAUUUCCUUCUCCUGCUCUGCCACCGUAGCCUACGAGGUAGAGUUCCGGUGGCUGGAGUUCGGCCGCGAGGAUUUCGCAGGGACAGUAGAGAGUUACGAUUGUCACGUAUCCCUUCGCCACAAGUCGCUAGAAGAGUGGGUGCCAAAUAUUAAGACUGCACUACCUAUAGCGACGCCACAUGUAACAACACUUUUAAAAAGUGUCGGUAAUCUAGCUAGCAACACUUUUUUUUUAUCUAUACCGACAUUUAAAAGUAUCGCUAUAUACCGUUUUUGUUGUAGUGUCUAUUAGUGAAACCUAUAGAGGGCCAGGAGAUAUUUGAAGGAAUUUUUCAAAUGAACAAAAGUAUUUUGGUCAAAUAAAAUAAAUUAGAUA